UACGUAGGGCGCGAGCGUUGUCCGGAAUUAUUGGGCGUAAAGGGCUUGUAGGCGGUUGGUCGCGUCUGCCGUGAAAUCCUCUGGCUUAACUGGGGGCGUGCGGUGGGUACGGGCUGACUUGAGUGCGGUAGGGGAGACUGGAACUCCUGGUGUAGCGGUGGAAUGCGCAGAUAUCAGGAAGAACACCGGUGGCGAAGGCGGGUCUCUGGGCCGUUACUGACGCUGAGGAGCGAAAGCGUGGGGAGCGAACAGGAUUAGAUACCCUGGUAGUCCACGCUGUAAACGUUGGGCACUAGGUGUGGGGGCCACCCGUGGUUUCUGCGCCGUAGCUAACGCUUUAAGUGCCCCGCCUGGGGAGUACGGCCGCAAGGCUAAA
rnacentral:rRNA from 1 species